rnacentral:antisense_RNA from 1 species
UCAAUGGUGGGCUGGACAGGGGCGCUGCAAAGCGCGCCGGUUUCACUAAGGCCGGUAAGGCUAACCCUGUUCAGCUCACCACCC